rnacentral:pre_miRNA from 2 species
GAUUUCAACUUGAAAAAGACAUUAACAACAAAUUGUAUAACUCAUCGAGAUCUAUAACUUUUAUUUUUGUUAUUUCUUCAUCCGACAAAGUGAUAGUAACAUUGUUUAUAAAAUUUACAUAUCUCUCAUUUGGUUUUAUAAACUAUAAGAGAGAUGUAAAUUUUGUGAACAAUAUUACUAUCACUUUGUCGGAUGAAGAAAUGACCAAAAUAAAAGUUGUAUGUCUUGAUGAGUUCUACAACUUUUAUGUUCAUGACUUUUUCAGCUGAAAUU